UGUAUAGACCCCAUAACCUGCA
rnacentral:misc_RNA from 1 species